ACCCGUAACACCCCGAUCUCUUCCUGCUGACCGACUCUGAGAAAGGAAAUUCAUACAAGUUUCAAGCUGGCAAUAGGAUGAAUGCUAUGCUGUGGUUUAAGCAUCUGAGUGCAGCCUGCCAAAGUAACAAGCAACAGGUCCCUACAAACUUAAUGACUUUCGAAUAAAAGCCUGAGAAAGAAGAGCAGUGAAGUGCCGCUCUGCCGUGAGAGCGCCAGCUGCAGACCACCCCGUGCCAGGAGCAGCCCAGGGGCUCUGGUCAGCCUUUGGAGUUCUGAACCAAAAAAGCACUAAUUUCAGGGAAUCAAGUGAGAUAUUCCCAAAAAACAAAUUGGAGUUGUAUAACAAACUGCCAUGAACCAUGCUUCUUAUCUCUGAACUGACCUGUGGAAACCACUGCCUUAAAAGAAUGAAAGGAAAACCAACAUGAAACACCAAAUAGUGUGUGUGAAUCUCCUGGCGGUGCUGUGCUUGGAAUAGAUUGUAGAUAAUUUGCAUUUCUUUUAACUUUGUACUAAUUUUGGAGGGGGGAAUCACCUUUUUUAGAUACACUUUAAAGAAGAGCAACACAUUUUCUUACAGAUUAUAUCAGGAGCUGGUUUGGGACUGAGCGGGAGGAUGCGUUAGCCUGGUGGAGAUUGUCCCAAGCCCGCCUGCAGGGUGCGUCCAUCCUCGGGGAGUCUGCAGUCUCACUCGCGUUCUCAGAGAGUGUAGGGAGUAGAUGUGUUUGUAGUGUGAGUUGUUGGGUUUUAUGUGGAAUUGGGGGGGAGGGCAUUUUGUUUUGGAUGGGGGAAGUUUUUUUAAACACUAAGCUUCUACAAUUUAGUAUUGUACAGGGAACAUUAUUUUCUGCAGGAGGUACCAAGGCGAGUGUUCAUAUGCUAGACACUUUUUUAAAUGUAGGCUCCAGAUGGCACGGCUGUUUCUAACGGGGGUUAAAGUUUAGCUUUCUAUGUGCUUUAUGAAUUCAUUGUUGGACCACAGAUCUGCUUAGUAGAGAACCGUAAUCUCAACCUAAACUUCCGUUAGAUUUUACAAUUAGAUUUUUCAAGUGAAUCGGAUUAUCCCUUCUCUCGGUUAUGGAUGAUUUUUAUCAUUGAGGUGAUAUGUUGCUAUUUUGCCAGGAUAUUUUCUUUUACAGUGUUUAUUGUGCGUAAUGCCAGAGUUAUUUUUUUAUUGCUCAUUUUCAUUAUUUUUGUUCAAUAUGAAAUUCAGGAUUAGAUUUUAAAAAGAGUCCAUGUAUGUAUGUAUGUAUUUUAAGACAUAGAAAAUAAUUUUGAGAGGGAUAAAGGUGAAAGUUUGAGAUUCUGGGAUUUUUAGGUAUCACUACUUUUCUCCUCCUCUGACUAACCAUAAACAUACCAUAGGUCCCUGACAUGAAAGUGUUGUUUUGUCGGUAGUUAACUAGGUGGUUUUAUGAGCACUCAUCUAUGCAAUAAUGCAUUUAGUUUCUGAAAUAAAUGUUGACUUAUUAAAAGGAAAACACCUUUGAGGGUGAGAUAACCUUAGAACUUAAACAAAAAAUGACACUUGAACAAAUGUUGAAUGUUACAAACUUGUAAAGCAUCAUAAAUUUUAGCCCAAAAUAAGAAAUGCUUUUUGACUGGUAUCUGCUAACAGGCUUCAUUCACUUUGAGCCUCCCAUAAAAUUUCUCACAUUUGUAUUAUCAGACAAUUUUGUAAUUUUUUUUAAUCCUGAGUAUUUUGCCCCUGAGUCCAUGGAAACUUAAAUAGAAAAUAUUACCUGUACAAUAAUUAACUAAAUAUCUAUCUAAACCUAUCCAAAGGAAAAAUAGAAGAGCUUUUCUGAGUGUUAAGUUUUGUAAACUUAGUGUUCUGUUUGGAAAAGAUGUUAAGAGUUCAUUUAUGUUUUUCUUAUAACACAGUUAGAAAUACCACUGUUUUAGUGACAAGGCUAGAGAGGGCAAAAUGUUGCCUGUGCUGAAUGAUUUCUCACUUGAUGGUCUCUGAAGCUUACCCCAUGUUGGGUGCGUAGACAUCGUCCACAUAGCCAGCAGUAUUACUGUGUAGACCUUGCACAACUUAACUUCUGUUUUGCAUUUUUAAAAUUCCUUAAUUUGUUUAUUUCUCUUCAGAAAUAGCAUUUUUAACAGUGUGUGUGCUUUUUUUUUUUUUAUAUUGUGAAUGAGAACCCUGUGGAUUUAUUUUUAACUAUUAUUUUGUCAGAAAUAAGCUAAAGUGGGUUUGCUGUAGGUUAAUCAUAUCUGUGGAGAUAUGCAACUGGAAGUCAGAGCCUGAUAUCACACAGUGUUGCCAAAGAGAGAGAAAGCUAAGAUGUGUUUGAUAUUUUCAGCUCUAAACAUGAAUGGAUGCUUGCAUACAGUAAGAAUAGUGCUCAGAUUUGGUUCAUAGCCUGUCAGUAGAAUUGAGAUCGCUGACCAACUGAUGCUUGUAAAAUAGCAAUGCAACAGAAGUUGUCAUUUUUCUAUCUUCAGAUUUGUUCAUUUAAAAGAUUAGUCAUUGCUAUUUAAGAUUAUUUUAGAAUUUGAAGCAAACUGAAACCAGCAAGAAAAGAGAAUUAAAAUAGUAUGAGUGGACUUCUAGUCUCUAAUUUGCCAAAUUACCUCUGAUAAUAACUCACACGAAGAAAAUAGAAGUCACCAAAAUAUACGAAACAUUUGGGUAGCUUUUUAGUGGGAAGAUGAAUCUUCUUAUUAAGACUAUCUCCGUUUGUAAAUUAGUGACACUAGCACUCAAAAUUUGCAUCAGCAUUAAGCUCAUUUUUUCCUCCCCUAACCAAAAACUCACUGAAAAUUCCACUGUGAUUUCAAUUUAAGCUGGUUAAGUGUCACAGGUGACAUAUUUAACACAGCCUGGUAUAGUAGCGUAUAAAACUAGCCAGAAUACAAUGUGGGGCACGUUUUAUUUUAAUAAUUCAUUCAAACAUGAGGCUUAUUUCUCAUAUGGAAGUAUCUGUUUUAAAAAUAUUACUAGAAAAAUAACUACAUAAUGACCUUCCUGAGCACUAUUUUUGGUUUUAUGCCCCUUCUAUGUUCAGGCUGUGUCAUUUUUUGAAAGUACUAUUUUUACUGUAACCUUCAAACUGUAAGAAUUUAAAGAGAACUGAUCAAACACACCUUUCUGUUUCCUUUUCUUCACCAUGUACAUAUUAUUUGUGUAAACAUCACAAAAAGGAAUUCGAACAAUUUGAGUUUGAGGAUUUUUUCUUAGGCCUGUGCUUCAAUGACAAGUAUUUUUCCUGUGUGAAAAAUGCCAUACAACUAUUGCACUACCUUCUGUAUGAACUGUGUUGGUAUCGGGUCUGUAUGUCAAGAGCCGGGUGUUUAUAGCUGCAGAGUUUUUUAAAUGGUUUUAUUCCUCUUCUAGAAGAGUUUUAAAGGAACCUAGGAAGCACUUAAUUUGUAGAAGGAAAAGGAAUAGGAAUGUUUACAGUCUCUAGCGUAUCUAUGUUAGUUGAGACCGUCUAUGAGUAGCCUGUUGACCUCGGGAUUUUUCAAAUUUACCUGGCCAAAUGACGUGAGCAUUAGUCUUUUUCAUUUCUUUCUUUUUAAAAGUCCAGUCUGUAAGCCGUAUGCUUUUACUACUAUAAACAAAACUAUAGGGCAUCAUACUUGGAAAUCAGUAGUAAUAAAUUUAAUUCAUCAGCUUUUUAAAAGAAUAUAUUCACUAUUGAUUUCCUUCCAGUUUUUCGAGGUACACUCUCUUACAAUCAGUUUUUAAGCCACCCCAUUAUCUUCUGCAAACAAGGGGUACCAGUGUUGCUUACCAGAAGGUAAUCUUUAAUAAAAAAAUUUUAAAAAACUUCUGCUUCAAAUAAUCGGAUCCCUUUAUGAAAAUGAAGAUGAAUUUGGCCAUGUCCUGGUGGAACAGUAGUGCUGUAUUAGCCGAUGUAAAGCCAGUGCUGAGGUUUGUCUGACUUCUUUAGUGACCUUAUAGGGUUUGCUUUUAUUUUCUCUCUCUUCUUUUGUAUGACUUCUUUCAAACAUAGCAAAUUUAUGAUUUUUACAGCCAGAACAGUAUUCUGUUUUUUCUAAGUUUUAAGAUACAAAAAGUGCUAUUUAAUCACAUCGAUGUUCAAUUAUUUUCGAUGUGAACCUUUUCAGAAUGAGUUGAGUACCUUUUGGUUUUGCUCUCCUAAAAAUGGCUUGUGUCUAAAGAGACUUUUUUUUUUUCAUAUAUGGAGUGUUCUAAUGAAAGAGACCUGUGUAUACUAACUCAAGCUUAUUUAAAGCAAUUGCAUUACACCUGUGUUUGAAGUCACAGUGUGGGGAAAAUUUGGUCAGUGCCUUAUCAAUUUGAAGACCAAUUUUAGGGCAUCAAGUAUGACAAUAACCAUUUGUCCUCUUGCUCCUCUGAUUUCAGGAGUGUGUGCUAGCCCUCUCUCCACCAGCUUAAUCUUUCUCACAGCAAGUCUUAGGAAGUCUAUACAGAUACCUCUAGGUAAUUGUCACAGUCCUCCUUAGUUUUUGAAAAGUGUUUGUUUAAAAGCUCCCUCCUUGUUUCUCUUCUUUUAGAGUAGAUUAAAAAUAAACCUACCCAGAUCAACCUUAGAUAAGCACUCUGAAAAACAAUUUUGAAAAGCAUUCAGCCAAGUGGGUUUUUAUUUUGUUGUCGAUGUUGUUUUGGACAUAGCUGUAAUUAUAAGGCCUUUUAAAAAAAAAAUCCCUAUAAAACACAGCUGAAAGGUUUGUUUGAAUUUCAUUAAAGGUACUGAAAUCUUAUAGCAAGAGCCCUCUUUGGCCAAAAAAUAAUUCAGUUAAUUAUUAUAUUUAAAUGAGACUCGGAAUGAACAAGCAGUCACUUAACCCACUACUUCUUGUUUUACUUGAAAAUAUUGUACAACAAAGUGAGAUCAGCUCCAGUAUAUAAAUUAGAGUUUUCUCGGUAAAAACAAAGUUUGGAAAUAGUUUGCUUCACUAGGUUAUUGGGAGGCCUGGAACUACUAUUGUUCUUCUGAGUCAAGAUGCUAUUUUCACUUUGUAAAAGGGCUAGUGUGUUCUGCAUAGGCAGGUAGACAUAGUCUUUUAAGCCAAAUAAAAGGGUCAACUGGUCUUUGAGGGUUGUUUAUUAGCAGAAAAUGGAUUUUGGUUCUAGCCAUUUGGACUGCAAGUGAUGGCGGGAUUUUAAAAAUACAUCUUUAGAGUACUUUGGGGUUGAAUUUUUUUUCAUAAUAGAAAAAGCAGAAAAAUUCACAAACAUUAGCUGUGCUUUAGGUAUCAAGUAACAAAUACUCAGUUUCCCCUGAAGGUAUCACCUGCUCUUGGGUCGUUGGAAAAGUCAUGAUGCAUUUCACAUUAAAAAAAUAGAAAAAUUGAUCAUGACUUUUCCAACAACCCAGUAGAACUAUUCGCAAAUAUAGUCCAAUAAUUAUUGACUUAGCAGGUGUGACAGAAUAGCUGAUAAUUAGUCACCAGACUCAAGAAUUUCCAUACCUUGAUUAUUGACAAACUCAUUGUUUUAGAACCUUCUGAAGUGUGUGUGUGUGUGGGGGGGGGGGGGGCUGCUGGGAAACUGGUUCACAGAAUAAUCUAAAGGAAAUCAAACAUCUGUAAGUACCCAAUGAUGACAAUAUGCAGGAAAACACAAGCCAUUUUUUUCUUCUUUAUCCCAAUUAACUUGAGGUACUCCAGUGAUGAAGCACUUGGUUGCACUAUGACCUCCUUGAGUGAUGUGCAGCUUGAUUCCUCUCUCACUUUUUGUUUCUUUUUAAUAUGCAAAUGUGAGUGCGUGACCUUCAGUGUGUUUGCAUAAUAAGCUAACUUAAAAUGAAUUUAAGUACGGUUUUCUGAAAUAUUUCUAUUGAAAUAAAUGACUUAAAAUAUA